UGGAGAUUAGUAAGUAUCUAUUCUUUGUCUGCAUAAAAUGUAAUAAAAACGAGCUUUUUAAAAACAUAAAUCUAAACAUAAUUCUAUCUUCUCUCUCCUUCUAGGUAAAGAGCAAGGAUUAUUUGAUACAGUAAUUGUCAAUGAUGAUUUGGAGGAAGCUCAUGGGCAGUUAAAGGCAUUUCUUCUUGAGGAAAUACAAAAGGUCAAGAAAACCAACAUGCCUUCGUAGGAUACCGCAGCAUCCUUGCACCUUUUUAGUCCAGUCGAUCCACUCCUCACAAAAUCACAGACCUCCUCUCAAGUCGAGAACAUUCCCUCCGCUGGUCUGUGAAGCUCAGAUGUCCCUUUGACAUGGUAUUCAGGAAAAGUUAUUACCAAAUGAUAUGUAAAGUGGAACAUUUUUUUUUUUAUUAUCAACAGGAAGCAUUUCCAUGUUUUUGUUUUUAUUUGUAUGACGAAAAUAUACUCCAACAAUGCUUACUUGUAAAGUGUGGGGCUUUGUUUUCAGUGUGUUUGAGGGCAGAGUCGACCGAUAAACAACACAAGCGGAGAAACAAAACUCAUUCCAUUAUGUGGACAAACCGGUCUUAUCAAGGGUGGGGCAAAGUACAAUUCUGGAUAUCUUGAUUAGAGAGAGUUAGUUAUGCUACCUCUCAUUUGAGGUCUUUCUUUUUCUACAACCCGUCACAUCAUGGUGAUACAGAUGUGCAGUGUGAUGAAUAAAUCACAGACUCAGUCAGGGUUUGAUCUCAGGCCCCUGCACAUGAUUAGUUCAGGGGGGGAAACUCCAGCUCUACAACUGAUUUCUGAAAAUAUGGUGGCUGUUUUACUUUCAUAAGGUUCAUGUAGUAUAACUUUACUGAUUAAAUCAACUAUUCCAGUAUAUCUUCUUACAGGUUGUUGUACAUUUUUAGGGUUUGUGCUUGCUAAACUCCAUGUAAGUGUUUAAAGUUGUGCUUCAGUAGGAUUAAAUCCCAGGGUAGAGGUCGAAACAGUUGCUUCAAACAAACCAAGGACACCAUAUGUCACGAGGAUAACCGCUCUAAAAUAACAGAUGAAAUGUUUACUUGGAAGUUGUACAUUUUUUUUUUAUUGUCACUCUAUCAUGUUGUUGCUUCACCUGUACAGUAAAAUGACACUUUUUUGACUUUGAAGGAAAAUUAAACACUUUUUAUUCUCAGAAUGAAACACACCCACGUGUCCUUUAAGAUGUCUGAGUAAGUUCUCAGUCAUCCAGGUCAUGGUCAUUUGAAAGCUUGAUCCAAAGGAAACUGGACUUGUUAAAGAUCUUGACCAGCCCAGUUGCCUUUGGAUCAAGCUUCGAAGUCCUUUAGACUUUCUGUAAUUUGUUAUGUUUUGCCAUUAACAACUUUCUCUCAAACACAGUGAAAGCAUACUUAAUUAUUUUUAGACACUUUUGUAGUACCAGUCCUUUGCAGAACGGUUUCUGUUAUUUAAAUUGUCAACCUAAAUACAUUUAUAAUGUGUAACUGUUACAUUAUAGACAUUUAGAUGCAUGAAGUCAUCUGAUUUGAUUUGUACCAUGUAACCGGCCCUUACUAGAACGUGUUUUGUGAAAAAAUGUCAUUGUGUAUGUCUAAUCCAUAAAACCUCCAACAGUACCACCGUUAUUUCUGUUAACAUUGAAAUACAUUUGUCACAGUACAAUAGUGGAAGAAGACUGUGCCGUAUGUGUUCUAUAAAUAAGAAGUGGUGAAAGAAA